UACGUAGGGUGCGAGCGUUAAUCGGAAUUACUGGGCGUAAAGCGUGCGCAGGCGGCUUUGCAAGACAGAUGUGAAAUCCCCGGGCUUAACCUGGGAACCGCAUUUGUGACUGCAUAGCUGGAGUACGGCAGAGGGGGAUGGAAUUCCGCGUGUAGCAGUGAAAUGCGUAGAUAUGCGGAGGAACACCGAUGGCGAAGGCAGUCCCUCGGGCCUGUACUGACGCUCAUGCACGAAGCGUAGG
rnacentral:rRNA from 1 species